GGGUGGGCCCGUGCGGGUGACGUAAGGUUGGUGUGAGGGUUUUUCUUAAGGAAAAUAUAUAUAGAUUUUUCUUAAGAUUGCGUUUGAAUGCCGAAUACCUAAUCUCAGUAAAUGGAUUUAAUCAUUGGUAACCACUCAUAAGUCAAUUGACCAUUGGUUAAUGUUAUUUGCUAUUUGGUUUAUAUUUUUGGAGUUAGUAGGAUAAAUAUUAAAGAAGUAAUAAAAGUAUAUAGGGAAGAGAGUUCUGGUGGUUAACUUUAUCAUCUUUCAGUUUAAAGUUAACCAAGUUAACCUACUUUUUAGAAAUAACGUUAUCUGGGCUCUUGGUUUGCUAAUCAAACUAUUAGCCACCCACAACCAACA
rnacentral:lncRNA from 1 species